rnacentral:misc_RNA from 1 species
GAUGAAGAACGUAGCGAAAUGCGAUACGUAAUGUGAAUUGCAAAUUCAGUGAAUCAUCGAGUCUUUGAACGCACAUUGCGCCCCCUGGUAUUCCGGGGGGCAUGCUUGUCCGAGCGUCAUUGCUGCCCUCAAGCACGGCUUGUGUGUUGGGCCCCGUCCUCCGAUCCCGGGGGACGGGCCCGAAAGGCAGCGGCGGCACCGCGUCCGGUCCUCGAGCGUAUGGGGCUUUGUCACCCGCUCUGUAGGCCCGGCCGGCGCUUGCCGAUCAACCCAAAUUUUUAUCCAGGUUGACCUCGGAUCAGGUAGGGAUACCCGCUGAACUUAAGCAUAUCAAUAAGCGGAGGA